UACGAAGGGGGCUAGCGUUUGCUCGGAAUCACUGGGCGUAAAGGGUGCGUAGGCGGGUCUUUAAGUCAGGGGUGAAAUCCUGGAGCUCAACUCCAGAACUGCCUUUGAUACUGAGGAUCUUGAGUUCGGGAGAGGUGAGUGGAACUGCGAGUGUAGAGGUGAAAUUCGUAGAUAUUCGCAAGAACACCAGUGGCGAAGGCGGCUCACUGGCCCGAUACUGACGCUGAGGCACGAAAGCGUGGGGAGCAAACAGG
rnacentral:rRNA from 1 species